rnacentral:rRNA from 1 species
UACGGAGGGAGCUAGCGUUAUUCGGAAUUACUGGGCGUAAAGCGCACGUAGGCGGCUUUGUAAGUUAGAGGUGAAAGCCCGGAGCUCAACUCCGGAAUAGCCUUUAAGACUGCAUCGCUUGAAUCCAGGAGAGGUGAGUGGAAUUCCGAGUGUAGAGGUGAAAUUCGUAGAUAUUCGGAAGAACACCAGUGGCGAAGGCGGCUCACUGGACUGGUAUUGACGCUGAGGUGCGAAAGCGUGGGGAGCAAACAGG